UUGGAGGGCAAGUCUGGUGCCAGCAGCCGCGGUAAUUCCAGCUCCAAUAGCGUAUAUUAAAGUUGUUGCAGUUAAAAAGCUCGUAGUUGGAUUUCUGUUAAUAAUUUAUAUAAAAUAUUUUGAUGAAUAUUUAUAUAAUAUUAACAUAAUUCAUAUUACUAUUUUUUUUUUUAGUAUAUGAAAUUUUACUUUGAGAAAAUUAGAGUGCUUAAAGCAGGCAUAUGCCUUGAAUACUCCAGCAUGGAAUAAUAUUAAAGAUUUUUAUCUUUUUUAUUGGUUCUAAGAUAAGAAUAAUGAUUAAUAGGGACAGUUGGGGGCAUUUGUAUUUAACAGUCAGAGGUGAAAUUCUUAGAUUUGUUAAAGACAAACUAAUGCGAAAGCAUUUGCCAAGGAUGUUUUCAUUAAUCAAGAACGAAAGUUAGGGGAUCGAAGACGAUCAGAUACCGUCGUAGUCUUAACCAUAAACUAUGCCAACUAGAGAUUGGAGGUUGUUCCUUACUCCUUCAGCACCUUA
rnacentral:rRNA from 1 species